rnacentral:rRNA from 1 species
AUUGAACGCUGGCGGCAGGCCUAACACAUGCAAGUCGAGCGGAUGAGUGGAGCCUGCUCCAUGAAUCAGCGGCGGACGGGUGAGUAAUGCCUAGGAAUCUGCCUGGUAGUGGGGGACAACGUUUCGAAAGGAACGCUAAUACCGCAUACGUCCUACGGGAGAAAGCAGGGGACCUUCGGGCCUUGCGCUAUCAGAUGAGCCUAGGUCGGAUUAGCUAGUUGGUGGGGCAAAGGCCUACCAAGGCGACGAUCCGUAACUGGUCUGAGAGGAUGAGCAGUCACACUGGAACUGAGACAAGGUCCAGACUCCUACGGGAGGCAGCAGUGGGGAAUAUUGGACAAUGGGCGAAAGCCUGAUCCAGCCAUGCCGCGUGUGUGAAGAAGGUAUUCGGAUUGUAAAGCACUUUAAGUUGGGAGGAAGGGCAGUAAGCUAAUACCUUGCUGUUUUGACGUUACCAACAGAAUAAGCACCGGCUAACUUCGUGCCAGCCGCCGCUGUAAAAC